rnacentral:rRNA from 1 species
UACAGAGACUGCAAGCGUUGUCCGGAAUUAUUGGGCGUAAAGAGCUCGUAGGCGGCUUGUCGCGUCGGCUGUGAAAACCUGGGGCUCAACCCCGGGCCUGCAGCCGAUACGGGCAAGCUAGAAUUCGGUAGGGGAGACUGGAAUUCCUGGUGUAGCGGUGAAAUGCGCAGAUAUCAGGAGGAACACCGGUGGCGAAGGCGGGUCUCUGGGCCGAAAUUGACGCUGAGGAGCGAAAGCCAGGGGAGCAAACGGG